GUGAGUGUAGCUCAGUUGGUUAGAGCACCAGAUUGUGGUUCUGGGGGUCGGGGGUUCGAAUCCCCCCGCUCCGAC
rnacentral:tRNA from 1 species